ACCUUCUCAGGGUCGCACCUGGAGAGUUUCCAGUACUCUACCAGUCUCGGCUAAGGGAGGGAGAGUCAAGUAAAGGCACAUCAUUCCAUUCCUAGCUUGGGCCGUGCCUAGCGAGUGGAAGGCAAUCUACUGCAAGU